CGGGGCCGGAAAAAGCCUUCCUGAGGAAGUCGGGUAGUUGGUGUUUUGAGUUUGACGGAGUGGGUCCUGUUCUCUGCAGAGAUGAGCUGUGCCCUCAGAUUCAUCAGCUGCAGAUAAAGGGGCUGGAUGGCCCCUGAAGUACCUGCCAGUUCUGCCUUUGGAUGAUGCCGGUGAUUUUGAUAACAUUUAUGGACUGCCCACUGUGUUUCAGGAGUUAUGCAAGGUGGAGAGGGAACAACCAAGGGAGACUGGCAACUUUCUGCCUUGAGUUACUGGAGGAGCUGAUGUCAUCGAGGCUUGAAACAUGACUAGAAGAUAAGAUUUGUGAGUAUAAUUAAACUUGAGGGUCUGUGUGG
rnacentral:lncRNA from 1 species